CAUCCUUGUUGCCAUUCUAUCCCUCUUGGAUAGGGAAGAAAAUUCGAUUUGUCAGCUAGUCACAUGUUUUCUGCAGCCAAUCAGAGAAAUCAUCCUUGUUGGUACCCUACCACUCUGGGAUAGGGAAGAAAUCCUAUCAGAUAAAUGAGAGUCUAGCUUUGGCCAGUAAAGAUGCAACAACUCCUGUAUCGCUCUCCUUUUACCUCACUGAGGAGUUUAUUUCUACACCCGGUCCUCAUACGUUAAACAGGGAUAGGCCCCAAAUAACACCAAUGCUGAUCCAGAGCAAGCUGCAGUACUCUCUGUCGGAUCCUGCUGCCAAGACAGUAACACAACUCAAGAGGCAUUUAAGGGACAAAUACAGGACAACAGUGCCGUGAUUCUGAAAUCGUUCAACAAGCUCUGAACUUAGAUCUUCAGGAAACUCUGCUUUCUCCUCAGGUGUCGGGGAGUCUAUGUGGACUUCAACUGUGGCAUCCAAAGGACCCUGGGAAGAGGAUAUUUCCUGGAAUACUUUCUCUCUGGCUGCCACAUCCACCUCCUGAACUUCCACCUCCACAAUGGCUAGAACAGAUCCAUUUUAGUGGCAGAGUUCGCUAUCGCAGUUUGAAUGGGUCAGCGGAAGGCCCUUUUACACCAAUGCUAUGCUUCAUACAGCGGAAUGCCCCACAAUUACAGUGACAUUUCAGGCACAGAAAUUCCGUAGUGGACAUACUCUGAAACUGAUGACAGGCUGCCUUUGAGCACAAAUCUAUUUUUCCUCUUAUACAACAAAUGAUUAUUGCAUUAAAUGGUUAAUCCAAGAUCCUUCUGACCUUUUAUAUAAAUAUUAAUGUGCUGUAUGGUAGAAAGAAAACUUCUGCCGUACCUUCCAGUAUCAUCAUUCAUUCAAAUUAGUGAAUACUUUGUCUACCGUUCCUGAAGCCUCUAAUGCUGAUGAUUAAGGAGAUGAGACUUGUAAUGAUUCACUACUGAGUCACUGCAUGUUUCACGCUACACAUUACACAACUGCAGGAAGAUAAAAUGAGGCCAAUCUUUCAUGGACUAAGUUACACAGCAGGCUCUUAUGACAUUUUAACACGGCCAUGCUGCUUUACGUAUUUAAGAUAAAAAGCUGAAUCUAAAGCUACAGACUGAUUAUAAUGAUCACAUCCUGUGCCCCUAUAGCAAAUACAGAAAAAGAUUCCAUUCAGGAUCCAAGUCAUGAAAGUACAGAAGAAAUAUGCACCAGUAUAAAUAGAUGCC